rnacentral:rRNA from 1 species
UACGUAGGGGGCAAGCGUUGUCCGGAUUUAUUGGGCGUAAAGAGCGUGUAGGCGGCCUGACAAGUCUGCUGUGAAAACUCGAGGCUCAACCUCGAGAUGUCGGCGGAAACUGUCUGGCUAGAGUCCGGAAGAGGAGAGUGGAAUUCCUGGUGUAGCGGUGAAAUGCGCAGAUAUCAGGAAGAACACCUAUGGCGAAGGCAGCUCUCUGGGACGGUACUGACGCUGAAACGCGAAAGCGUGGGGAGCGAACAGG